CAAGAAGCUGUACAACUUAUGUCCGGACGUGCUAUCCACCAAGUUGUCAAUCCGUGGUAGGGGAUAACUAUCCUUUGGACAUGCUUUGUUAAGAUCUGUGAAGUCAAUGCAGACCCUCCACUUACCAUUGGCCUUCUUUACUAAAACAACAUUGGCAAGCCAAUCGGGAUAUUGGACCUCCCGAAUGAAUUGAGCGCUGACGAGUUUGUUAAUUUCUUCGCGAAUGACCUCCCGUCGUUCUGGGGCAAACUGCCUUUUCCUCUGCUUUACUGGUCUGGCCCCUGGGCUAAUGUUAAGCCUAUGGACUGCAAUUUUAGGGUCUAUCCCUGACAUAUCCUCAACCUUCCAGGCAAAAACGUCAAUGUUGCGAGAUAAGCAACUAACAAGUUCUGUCUUCAGGGUGACGUCAAGAUCCCGACCAAUCGUCACCUUCUUAUCAUGCUCGAGCUCAAUUUCCAUCAAUUCUUCGACAGGAGCAAGUCUGACUUGUUGCCCAUCCUCGGGAUCCAUCCUCGAGAUUUGCAUGACGUCGUUAUUUAUUUCCCGAACACUGGCAACAUAGCAUUGUCUGGCAGCUGUCUGGUCUCCACGGACAACCCCAACGCCAUUACUUGUUGGAAACUUCAUGGCUAGGUGGAAGGUGGACACAAUGGCUUUAAUCUUGUUCAGGAGUGGUCUUCCCAGAAUUGCGUUAUAGGCCAUUGAGACACGUACCACUUGAAAAGAUGUCAUCUCCGUAACCUGUUUCUGGCCAGAACCCAAAGUUAGUGGAAGCUCAACUACACCCUCUGGAGUGAUGACUCCUCCACCGAACCCCUGGAGAGGAGUUUUAACCGCUUUGAGCUGGUGAGAUGAGAUUCCCAUUUUGGCAAAAGCUUCUUGUGAAAGUAUAUUGGCCGCACUCCCGUUGUCAACCAAGAUCCUCUUUACUUCAAAAUUGGCCA
rnacentral:lncRNA from 1 species